rnacentral:rRNA from 1 species
AUUGAACGCUGGCGGCAGGCCUAACACAUGCAAGUCGAACGGCAGCGCGGGGAGCUUGCUCCCUGGCGGCGAGUGGCGGACGGGUGAGUAACGCGUGGGAAUCUGCCCAGUAGUGGGGGACAACCCGAGGAAACUCGGGCUAAUACCGCAUACGCCCUACGGGGGAAAGCAGGGGAUCUUCGGACCUUGCACUAUUGGAUGAGCCCGCGUCGGAUUAGCUUGUUGGUGAGGUAAAAGCUCACCAAGGCGACGAUCCGUAGCUGGUCUGAGAGGACGAUCAGCCACACUGGGACUGAGACACGGCCCAGACUCCUACGGGAGGCAGCAGUGGGGAAUAUUGGACAAUGGGCGCAAGCCUGAUCCAGCAAUGCCGCGUGUGUGAAGAAGGCCCUAGGGUUGUAAAGCACUUUCAGUUGGGAAGAAACGCAGAGGGUUAAUACCCCUUUGUAAUGACGUUACCAACAGAAGAAGCACCGGCUAACUCCGUG